CUCCUCUUGACACAAACAGCUUGGCCCUGAUGAUGUCCCCAGCUUAGCAAUGGACUACAGCCAAGAAGCCUGGCCACAAUAAGGACGGAUCACAUCCUUAGGGAGGACAUCUAUGAAAAGCAUCUAUGCACAGGAGAAAAGUGCAAGGACCGAAGUCUCAUCAGGAGUUCCAGGACACAGAGAGCCUGACAGACUCAGGCCAGAGGUUACCUCCAGAGUCCUAGAAGAGGAAGAGGGUCCAACUCUACAGCAGCCUCUUGCUGGUGCUGUUGCAACCAGGACUAUGAUUGUGAGACUUGUGUCUCUGUGGAUACCAGGUUCAGGCGUCUUGUGCCCAUGCAUCUACGGACACCUCUCAUUCCUCAUUUGGUAUAACUUUGCAAGUCCUGAGAUUAAGGCUAUCAUGUACUGAUGGUGUCCCACUUGACACAUAGGCUACAGAUGACAUUAAAUCUGCAAUUCUCUACUUUGUGAUUAUUGAUCCUUUCCAAAUUGGUUUGACUGGGAACAAGGCUCAGAGUUCGAUAUUUCCAAGAUUCACCUUUAUGAAAUUCAGAAUCCUACAAUUGUACAAAUGUACAAAAAAAAAACAGUACAGUUACCACUCUGGAAUGAAUCCAAGGACAAGGUGUCUGACAUGGGAAGUUUACAGAUUUAAUUAUAGGUCCAGGACUUAACAACGCUAAGCCUAUGCAGAAUCAUUCAGGGAUUCCAACUUUAGCAAUUGGAAGGAGUCAUUAAAGAAAAUGAGCUACGUGGCUCACAUGGCCAUGUCAUCGUGUCCAUGGAACAUGAUGCUCCUACUGCCAUGCUCUCUGUCAACCUCAAAAUGAGAUCACCAUUUACAGAAGAACAGUGCAGGGCAGCAAAGCAGUACGUUGGCCUAGGGUGGUGCACUGGGUGGUUCCAGGAGAUGCAGCCCUCACUCCAUCCUAUACAUCUAGGAGGAAAGCAAGAGGAGAGUGGGAGGGAUUAUGUGAGGGUGAGAU
rnacentral:lncRNA from 1 species